AGUGAACGCUGGCGGUAGGCCUAACACAUGCAAGUCGAACGGCAGCACAGUAAGAGCUUGCUCUUACGGGUGGCGAGUGGCGGACGGGUGAGGAAUACAUCGGAAUCUACUUUUUCGUGGGGGAUAACGUAGGGAAACUUACGCUAAUACCGCAUACGACCUACGGGUGAAAGCAGGGGAUCUUCGGACCUUGCGCGAUUGAAUGAGCCGAUGUCGGAUUAGCUAGUUGGCGGGGUAAAGGCCACCAAGGCGACGAUCCGUAGCUGGUCUGAGAGGAUGAUCAGCCACACUGGAACUGAGACACGGUCCAGACUCCUACGGGAGGCAGCAGUGGGGAAUAUUGGACAAUGGGCGCAAGCCUGAUCCAGCCAUACCGCGUGGGUGAAGAAGGCCUUCGGGUUGUAAAGCCCUUUUGUUGGGAAAGAAAAGCAGCGGGUUAAUACCCCGCUGUUCUGACGGUACCCAAAGAAUAAGCACCGGCUAACUUCGUG
rnacentral:rRNA from 1 species